GAGUGAAAUGAUGGUAUUGCAUCUUUCGGGACAGACAUGUUUAUGGUGACAACUCUUCAUCACUGAUCACUC
ensembl:snoRNA small nucleolar RNA SNORD2